AAAACAAAGAAAGAUGACUUUUAAGCCAAAGGAGUGCCUUUUUUGGCAUGCAAAGUUACAUUUUAAUCAGCCAGACAAAGGUGCCAUUGACUGGCCUGAGCUCAGCACAGAGAGCCACAGUGGACUGUGGAAACACAAAUUAGUUUAACAAAUGACUCAUUAUGGUGACCCUUGAGAUUAUCAACAAGAGAAAAUUACAGAGGCAAAUUUGUGAAAUAAAACUUGUUAAAAAGAAAACUAAAUGACUUAGCA
rnacentral:lncRNA from 1 species